AAUGAACGCUGGCGGCGUGCCUAACACAUGCAAGUCGGAUGUGCCGCAAGGUGCACGGCAGACGGGUGAGUAACGCGUGGGGAACCUACCUUUUCGUGGGGAAUAACGAUCCGAAAGGAUUGGUAAUACCGCAUGAGACCGAUGGCUGGGAUGCUGUCGGUGAAAGCCGGGGAUCGAAAGACCUGGCGCGAGAAGAGGGUCCUGCGUCUGGUUAGGUAGUUGGUGGGGUAAUGGCCUACCAAGGCGACGAUCAGUAGCCGGCCUGAGAGGGUGAUCGGCCACACUGGAACUGAGACACGGUCCAGACUCCUACGGGAGGCAGCAGUGGGGAAUUUUGCGCAAUGGGCGAAAGCCUGACGCAGCAACGCCGCGUGGGUGAUGAAGGUCUUCGGAUUGUAAAACCCUGUCGUCGGGGACGAAGGUGGGGGCGUUAAUAGCGCCUUUGCUUGACGGUACCCGGAGAGGAAGCCCCGGCUAACUCUGUGCCAGCCGCCGCGGUAACAC
rnacentral:rRNA from 1 species